GACGAACGCUGGCGGCGUGCUUAACACAUGCAAGUCGAACGGAGCGAAUGAAAGCUUGCUUUUAUAAGCUUAGUGGCAAACGGGUGAGUAACACGUAGGCAACCUGCCGACAGGAUGGGGACAACAUUCCGAAAGGAAUGCUAAUACCGAAUGAAGUCAGAGGAGGGCAUCCUCUUCUGAUGAAAGAUGGCCUCUAUAUAUAAGCUAUCACCUGUCGAUGGGCCUGCGUCUGAUUAGCUGGUAGGUGAGGUAACGGCUCACCUAGGCGACGAUCAGUAGCCGGUCUGAGAGGAUGAACGGCCACAUUGGGACUGAGACACGGCCCAGACUCCUACGGGAGGCAGCAGUGGGGAAUCUUCCGCAAUGGGCGCAAGCCUGACGGAGCAACGCCGCGUGAGUGAAGAAGGUCUUCGGAUCGUAAAGCUCUGUUGAUGGGGACGAACGUGCCUAAUGCGAAUAGUUUUAGGUAAUGACGGUACCCAUCGAGGAAGCCACGGCUAACUACGUGCCAGCCGCCGCCGUAACAC
rnacentral:rRNA from 1 species